AAAACACUGGAUGCAUUUCCUUUCAGUCAUUAGUUUCUAUACUUCCAACCCUUGCACUCCCAUUUCUACCUAUUUAAACUGACUAAUGUUCUAGAUCUUCCCAUCACAAUUCAAGAUUCAUUUGUUUCUCUCAUUCAAGUUAUAUUAUCCAUAA